GAUGAACGCUGGCGGCGUGCCUAAUACAUGCAAGUCGAGCGAACAGACGAGGAGCUUGCUCCUCUGACGUUAGCGGCGGACGGGUGAGUAACACGUGGAUAACCUACCUAUAAGACUGGGAUAACUUCGGGAAACCGGAGCUAAUACCGGAUAAUAUAUUGAACCGCAUGGUUCAAUAGUGAAAGACGGUUUUGCUGUCACUUAUAGAUGGAUCCGCGCCGCAUUAGCUAGUUGGUAAGGUAACGGGUUACCAAGGCAACGAUGCGUAGCCGACCUGAGAGGGUGAUAGGCCACCCUGGAACUGGGACACGGUCCAGACUCCUACGGGAGGCAGCAGUAGGGAAUCUUCCGCAAUGGGCGAAAGCCUGACGGAGCAACGCCGCGUGAGUGAUGAAGGUCUUCGGAUCGUAAAACUCUGUUAUUAGGGAAGAACAAAUGUGUAAGUAACUAUGCACGUCUUGACGGUACCUAAUCAGAAAGCCACGGCUAACUACGUG
rnacentral:rRNA from 1 species